CCGCCGGCUGCAGACCGAGCAGCAGCUGGCCACGGCUAAGGAACAGCUGGCGAACCUUCAGCGUGACCUGGACGCCUGCGAGUCGGUGCUGCGACUGGGCGGUACGGAGGAGCCGGCCGCCGACGCCUUCCAGCUGGGCGUGGCGGCGACGGCCCAGUCCACCCCGCAGGCGGCCAGGACGUCCUCUGGCGGGGAGUCGGCGCCGUUCUCGCUGCGCCGCGAGUUGGUCCGCUCUCUGGAGAACACACGCGCCCGCCGCGAGGAGGUUACUCGUUUGCGGCCG